AUGGACAGCAUGAGGAAAUCUUAUCAGUCUACACAAACAGCUUUGAAAUGGGCAAUAAUACUUGUUAAAUUUUGCACUGUUUGACUGCUAGUCUCACCUUUGAGGGUGACAGAAAGAUGCUGAGAAUGUGAGCACUGAGCCAUCCCAAAAAGAAGAUCUUCAGUUUCAAAUGAAGCUUAUCUUUUUCCUGAGUUGAUAUCUGAGAACUCGCUCUUAAAGAUACAGCUCCAGCUUCAUGCCAUCAUGUCAUCAUCACAAGAGUAUAUGACUGAUCCAAAAAUAAGCAGGACAAUACUCCAUGCCACACAGCCAAGUCAGUCAAGGUGUGGAUAGAGGACCACAGGAUCAAGACCCUAUCAUGGCCAGCCCAAUCUCCAGACCUGAACACCAUUGAAAACCUCUGGAAUGUGAUCAAGAGGAAGAUGAAUGGCCACAAGCCAUCAAACAAAGCCGAGCUGAUUGAAUUUUUGCACCAGGUGUGGCAUUAAGUCACCUAACAGCAAUGUGAAAGACUGGUAGAGAGCAUGCCAAGACGCAUGAAAGUUGUGAUUGAAAAUCAAGGUUAUUCCACCAAAUAUUGAUUUCUGAACUCUUCCUAAGUUAAAACAUUAGCAUUAUGUUGUUUAAAAAUGAAUAUGAACUUAUUUUCUUUGCAUUAUUCGAGGUCUGAAAACACUGCAUCUUUUUGUUAUUUUGACCAUUUUCUGCAAAUAAAUGCACUAAAUGACAAUAGUUUUAUUUGGAAUUUGGGAGAAAUGUUGUCAGUACUUUAUAGAACAAAACAAAACUGUUCAUUUUACUCAAACAGGAGUUUUGUAGUCAGAAGUUUACAUACACCUUAGCCUAAUACAUUUAAUCUCAGUUUUCACA